rnacentral:rRNA from 1 species
UACGUAGGUGGCAAGCGUUGUCCGGAUUUAUUGGGUUUAAAGGGUGCGUAGGCGGUCUUAUAAGUCAGUGCUGAAAUAUCCCGGCUUAACCGGGAGGGUGGCAUUGAUACUGUAGGACUUGAGUAGAGUUGAGGUUGGCGGAAUUGACGGUGUAGCGGUGAAAUGCUUAGAUAUCGUCAAGAACACCUAUUGCGAAGGCAGCUCACUAAGCUUUAACUGACACUGAGGCACGAAAGUGUGGGGAUCAAACAGG